rnacentral:ncRNA from 2 species
ACCGGCGUCCCCUAGGGUGGCCGCACGCGCGUCUCGUGGAACAGGAACCCGGUGAGAGUCCGGGGCGGUUCCGCCACUGUGACGCCGGUCCUCGUACCUGACGGCCGGCACAGCCAGACACUGGCCACGGGACAUUCACCCAA